rnacentral:rRNA from 1 species
AGAGUUUGAUCCUGGCUCAGGAUGAACGCUAGCGGGAGGCCUAACACAUGCAAGCCGAGCGGUAGAGUCUCUUCGGGGACUUGAGAGCGGCGCACGGGUGCGGAACACGUGUGCAACCUGCCUUUAUCUGGGGGAUAGCCUUUAGAAAGGAAGAUUAAUACCCCAUAAUAUACUGGAUGGCAUCAUCUGGUAUUGAAAACUCCGGUGGAUAGAGAUGGGCACGCGCAAGAUUAGAUAGUUGGUGAGGUAACGGCUCACCAAGUCAGCGAUCUUUAGGGGGCCUGAGAGGGUGAUCCCCCACACUGGUACUGAGACACGGACCAGACUCCUACGGGAGGCAGCAGUGAGGAAUAUUGGACAAUGGGUGAGAGCCUGAUCCAGCCAUCCCGCGUGAAGGACGACGGCCCUAUGGGUUGUAAACUUCUUUUGUAUAGGGAUAAACCUAGAUACGUGUAUCUAGCUGAAGGUACUAUACGAAUAAGCACCGGCUAACUCCGUGCCAGCAGCCGCGGUAAUACGGAGGGUGCAAGCGUUAUCCGGAUUUAUUGGGUUUAAAGGGUCCGUAGGCGGAUUUGUAAGUCAGUGGUGAAAUCUCACAGCUUAACUGUGAAACUGCCAUUGAUACUGCAGGUCUUGAGUGUUGUUGAAG